UUUUGCAAGCCUCUGGCAGAGGAAUUGGUUAGUCUCUCCAUGGCCCCAAAGAUCAGAGCUCGAGUUAUGGCUCGAAACUGCGGUAGAUUUAGUUCCAUGCAAAGAAAACAAACAAAAAUCCGUUCACUAUGAAGUCAGCCUUAAGAAGACAAGCCCCUAGGUGCUUGGGAAGCUCGCGUCGACUGAGAGAGAAGAGAAAGGGAAGGAGAGAGCAGAAGACUAAAGAGUGAGGCAACACAGAAGAGGAGAAUGGGAGACGAGGAGAGGUGUUGGUGUAAGAAAGGAAGCGGUGAAAUAAGAUGAAAGCGGUUGGUCUGGGAGCUCGGUAACCGCUGCAAACCAGACUCUCCCUUUCUGUUCCACCUUUAUCGGCAAUACCCUGACACGCCAGCAGAUGGAGAUAUUGCCCUGGAAAAUGUGAAAAUUUUCAGCCCCCCCCAAGUUAAAAUUCAAAUUUUCCUUAACACACCCAAAGAGAAUUCCAGAUAUUUCUGAAUUUCCGAACUAAAUUUAAGAAGCAAAGAUUUUUAUGCUAAAUUUUGCGUACUUUUAAGUAACCCGUGCUUUUAAUCCCAAAGGAGGCCACUGUAAAUUUUUGACCUUAGAUUGCUACUUGAAAAAGGUUCCCAGCGUUCUUUCUGUCCCAUUUCUGUUAUUAUUUAAUGUAUGCAUAUGCGUACAUUGUCUGUGUAUCCUUGGCUGUUAACUAGUUGAGCAACAUUGGAGUGUACUGCAGUUCUGACCCAGCUGACCAAUGGGUGUCCUUUCUUUUCCCAGGCGGAAUCUCUAUCUUUUGCAUUCUCGCCUGUGGUAAUUCUGGGAAUCCUCAUUCUCCCACCAGGAAGAAGGCAGCCAAUGCAGAGGACUUCUAGUGACUAUGUCCUCCUGGUAAAGAGGUACCCCAAAAGGAACUCAUUCUGGUGUAACAGAGUUUCCCGACCUUCAACUAUAUCCAAAUCACAAGCCGAUUUCCAGUCAGAAGAUCUGAUGGAUUCAGAGGUAUAUGUUACCGAGUAAACUCUCUUCUUCCACCAAAGAAGGCCAUCAAACUUGGUAGCAAGUGCCUUAUCCACUGAGCUAUCUUGCCAGCCCUCUCACUCAACAUUUGUUGAGAUUCUCCCAUUUUCUUUUUACGGGACCUUCCAGGAGUUGGAGGUGCAGAAGUGAAAGAAAAGAAAUAAAAUUUCUGGCUGGGUGUGAUGGUGCAAUGCCAGCACUUGACAGGAGGGUGGGGAGUUCAUAGUCUCCCUCAGACACAGAAGGAGUGGAGUUUGAAGACAGCCUCAGCCUAAAAGGAAUACAGACCUCAGCCCCUUCUUCCUCCUUUCAUACUUGACCACCAAAGGAGCAGUUUUGCUCUACCACACAUUCCCUCUUGGGACCCAAAUAAAUUAAUAAUUUAACAAAUAAAA